rnacentral:rRNA from 1 species
GCCUAAUACAUGCAAGUCGAACGAGUUCUGAUUAUUGAAAGGUGCUUGCAUCUUGAUUUAAUUUUGAACGAGUGGCGGACGGGUGAGUAACACGUGGGUAACCUGCCCUUAAGUGGGGGAUAACAUUUGGAAACAGAUGCUAAUACCGCAUAAAUCCAAGAACCGCAUGGUUCUUGGCUGAAAGAUGGCGUAAGCUAUCGCUUUUGGAUGGACCCGCGGCGUAUUAGCUAGUUGGUGAGGUAACGGCUCACCAAGGCAAUGAUACGUAGCCGAACUGAGAGGUUGAUCGGCCACAUUGGGACUGAGACACGGCCCAAACUCCUACGGGAGGCAGCAGUAGGGAAUCUUCCACAAUGGACGCAAGUCUGAUGGAGCAACGCCGCGUGAGUGAAGAAGGCUUUCGGGUCGUAAAACUCUGUUGUUGGAGAAGAAUGGUCGGCAGAGUAACUGUUGUCGGCGUGACGGUAUCCAACCAGAAAGCCACGGCUAACUACGUGCCAGCAGCCGCGGUAAUACGUAGGUGGCAAGCGUUAUCCGGAUUUAUUGGGCGUAAAGCGAGCGCAGGCGGUUUUUUAAGUCUGAUGUGAAAGCCCUCGGCUUAACCGAGGAAGUGCAUCGGAAACUGGGAAACUUGAGUGCAGAAGAGGACAGUGGAACUCCAUGUGUAGCGGUGAAAUGCGUAGAUAUAUGGAAGAACACCAGUGGCGAAGGCGGCUGUCUGGUCUGUAACUGACGCUGAGGCUCGAAAGCAUGGGUAGCGAACAGGAUUAGAUACCCUGGUAGUCCAUGCCGUAAACGAUGAAUGCUAGGUGUUGGAGGGUUUCCGCCCUUCAGUGCCGCAGCUAACGCAUUAAGCAUUCCGCCUGGGGAGUACGACCGCAAGGUUGAAACUCAAAGGAAUUGACGGGGGCCCGCACAAGCGGUGGAGCAUGUGGUUUAAUUCGAAGCAACGCGAAGAACCUUACCAGGUCUUGACAUCUUUUGAUCACCUGAGAGAUCAGGUUUCCCCUUCGGGGGCAAAAUGACAGGUGGUGCAUGGUUGUCGUCAGCUCGUGUCGUGAGAUGUUGGGUUAAGUCCCGCAACGAGCGCAACCCUUAUGACUAGUUGCCAGCAUUUAGUUGGGCACUCUAGUAAGACUGCCGGUGACAAACCGGAGGAAGGUGGGGAUGACGUCAAAUCAUCAUGCCCCUUAUGACCUGGGCUACACACGUGCUACAAUGGAUGGUACAACGAGUUGCGAGACCGCGAGGUCAAGCUAAUCUCUUAAAGCCAUUCUCAGUUCGGACUGUAGGCUGCAACUCGCCUACACGAAGUCGGAAUCGCUAGUAAUCGCGGAUCAGCACGCCGCGGUGAAUACGUUCCCGGGCCUUGUACACACCGCCCGUCACACCAUGAGAGUUUGUAACACCCGAAGCCGGUGGCGUAACCCUUUUAGGGAGCGAGCCGUCUAAGGUGA